UACGUAGGGCGCAAGCGUUGUCCGGAAUUAUUGGGCGUAAAGAGCUCGUAGGCGGUUUGUCGCGUCGGAUGUGAAAGCCCGGGGCUUAACCCCGGGUCUGCAUUCGAUACGGGCAGACUGGAGUGUGGUAGGGGAGAUCGGAAUUCCUGGUGUAGCGGUGAAAUGCGCAGAUAUCAGGAGGAACACCGGUGGCGAAGGCGGGUCUCUGGGCCGGUACCGACGCUGAGGAGCGAAAGCGUGGGGAGCGAACAGG
rnacentral:rRNA from 1 species